rnacentral:lncRNA from 1 species
GGUGCUCUCUGGUUGUGGAGGCGCGUUGUUCACGAACGCUAGCUCUGCCAAAUCGAUGGCCUUGGCCAGGCCAGCAGCUUUGCGUUCACACUCGAUUUGCUCGUCGUCUGGACGGCUGUCGGCCACGAUCCCAGCACCGGAUUGGAGGUGCGCGAUCCAUUCCUGGCGCCUGUUGCCAUCCUUGUACGAGUACAUUGUGUCGUAACGGACUGCAGUAGGGAAAACGAUUGUCCUCAGAGUCAAUGCGAUGUCCAUGUCGCCCAGGAACGAAACCCCUCCGAAGCCACCGCUGUAUGGUCCCCUUCUUGUUGGUUCUAAUUGAUCAAUCAACUCCAUGGCCCUCACCUGAAGUUCGCGAACAGGGGAAAACAAAACACGAUCUUAUCGACUGACGAAUACGAUUAUUUACAAGAACUCAGGAGUUUGAAACUGGAAAAUUAAAUUCAAUGCAUAAACUCAGGUCUCAGAUAAGCUAAAGCUGCAUCGUUACCUUUGGUGCUCCACUAACUGUUCCAACGGGCAGUGCAGCACGCAGUGCAUCCCAAGCCGUCAUAUCAUCAAGUAACUCUCCAGUUACCUAUAAUCACAAUUUAACACAAAAUACGAAAUAGUUAUUGAGCAAUCAGAAAAAAGCAAUGGUAUUUCAAUGGGAAAUGUUUUGAGCACCAAAUAUUUGCCAAUGAGGCAAUUCAAUUGCCAAGUAAAAGCAUGUUCUUACUGUAGAGCUUAUGUGCAUCACAUGGGAAUAUCGUUCGACAGUCAUGAGCUUUUCCACUUUGACCGAACCAGGUUUUGAAACCUGGGCCAAAAAAAUUAUAGAAACAGCUUAAUACAUUAUACAUCAAAUAAGAAAGGGUCUUGAUUUGACAGCAAAGUGGGAAAACAAAAGAUGCGGAGAAAGUUUUUGGCUCUUGAAGUCAUACACAGCUUAAAUCCUCACAAGUAAUUAAUAAAAUACCAUAUGGAGAGAAUAUGGAAGUUCUUUGAGAAAUUGAUGGUUUUUAUCUAAUACUAAGAGCAAAAGAUGGAGGUUUCAGUCAAAUCAAGUUUUUGCCUUCCUCUGAAUCCUGGGGUUGCCCGUUGCCUGGAUUGACAUGCUAGCAAAACGUAUGUAAACAAGAAAAGCUAAUAACACAGCAAUUGAUAUCAAAUACACUAUAACUUGUUAGCUAGCUUCAACUUUGUACAAUGACCAGUUAGUGUAGGUGAAAUUUCAUUUCAAUUUUGCACACUUGAUAUUUAACCAAGAACGGAUCAUCUUAUGCUCUGAAAAUACCCAUACGUUAGCACCAAACUUAUAUUUUGUGAAGGAUGAAAGUACAAGCAAAAAACUUAUACACCUAAACAUUAUAAGAUAUUCUCCCUCACAAUAUAGGCACGUGAUGUGGAUAAUAAUGGAAACAAAAUAUUUAACUGAAAACACUGGCACAACAGCAUUUAUAGAGGGCAUAGGGCAUGAUUAAAAUUGUAAAGUACUCAAGUAUUAAGAGAUUUACUUUUAGGAGAAUGGAAUAACAAACAGAAUAAGGAGACAUGGUGCGACAAAAGCUACAAAAGUUUCCUCUAGACAAUAUGAACAAUAAACAAACCUUUCCAACAUCAUUCCUGCCCAGAUCAACCAGCAUAAUAUGUUCUGCGCAUUGCUUUUCAUCCUUUAGCAGCUUCAUCUCUAACAUUUCAUCCUCAUUGCUUGUCGUCCCUCGUUUAGCUGUCCCAGCCAANAAGUGAGACAUUUGUAAUGGGAAAAAGAAAUUAGUAAUUUGGAAAUAAAUAAUUCAAGAAAAGGAUCAGCAAACAGAAAUAGUUCUAAGUUACCCUGAAAAAUGCCGUCUAUAAGAGGAAAUUCAUACACAAAAGCUUAAAACUUAACAAAUCCAAAUAAUUACAAGCCUAUACCACCAAUAAAGCAUUCUUGAUCAAUUAACAAUGAUAAAUAUAUUUUCUUGAGGAAUUAUGAUAUAGAAUGAUAAAUAUAACCUCAGAAGUACAUUACUAUAUAAACAACAAGUAUAACAAAAAUCACAAAAUUAAAUAAAACUCAAGUGAUUCUCAUUAGCUAAGAUUUUCCCAUUAUAGCAAAAAUUACACGAAUCGUAAAACCGAAAAUUUCAUUCAGUUGCCAAACAGAGACUCGUCAAUCUCAAUCUUGACCACUUCGCCGUCGUCGUACUUAUCUUUUCUCGGCGGAAGCGGCGGCGCCGGAACCCUCGGCGGCCCUCUCCCCUUCUUCUUAUCCUUGGGCCUCGCCUUCACACGCCAAAAAUCCACACAAUCAAUAACAGAAAAAUGGAAUAAAUAAACCUCCGAAAAAAGAAAAAUUAACAAAUGAAUUAGCGUAAAACCACAUUGCCGAAUGAGUGAUUGAAGCGCUUCCCCUAGCAGUUUCUUGUCCCUCGGCCGCAGAAAACUGAACCCCAAGGAAAAAAAAAAUCAGAGAGAGAGAGAGAGAGAUAGAGAGAUAGAGAAGAGAGAGUUCACUUACUGAGAGGAAGCGAAGGGGCGGGUAUGGAGGUGGAGAGGGAGGAAGGGGCGUUGAAUAGGGCUUGAGACUUAGAGAGAGAAAGAGAAGGGGGAAUUGUGAGGGGUCUGGAAGCCAUGGGAGGAGCUCCAACUCCGAGCAAGAGAGACGCCAUCUCAAUUCUCAAAAUCUGUGGAAUUGAGCAACGAAAUUGUGAAUUAGUGGACAAAAGGAUUGUGUUUCGGAUAAAAUGUGGAGAUCGAACGACGCCGUUUUGAUGGGAAUGUUGGUAUAUCUAUUCCCAUGAACAUAAAAUAAAAUUAAUUGAAUUAGCCGUAUUUAAAUUUUACUACCUUUUCUAAUGAAAUUGUUCUUUUUCCUUGAGGCACUAAUAAAAGUGUUCUUAUAUAAUAAUCUUUUGUUUUAACUAAUAAUAAUAAUAGUUACUCCUUUUUGUUCAAUACAUUUCAUUUUUACUGAGCUCAUAUUCUAUGGAUAUCAUCCGAUAGAAAUAUUAGGUAUUUGAUUUGGUGAAUGAGAUCAAUAAAAUUAAUAAGAUUAGAUGAGUGAUUAAAUUUAUUCAAUUUUUGGAUGAUAAAUAAUUAUUCAUUUGAAUGAUUAGAUUCAAGUCGAAUUACCAAUCACGAGUUGAAUCAUGCAAAAAGUAAACACUUAAUUAAAAUAAAUUAUUUUAUCCUCAAACGAAACGCCUCUCUCACCCAAAACUAAUUAUGUUUCCAUUUAAAUGUGUAUGAGAUAUAAUUUAAGAAUGACGGAAAUAGAAUAAAAUGAGCAUCAAAAUUGGGAAAAUUAAUGAUCCUUUCUCACACAAACAUUCAAUUUCCAACCGCCAAUUCUGUUAUUGUGUGGGACUAGUAUUAGAUUUUAAUUUUUAUUUGAUAUUAAUAUUGACCUUAUUUUCAACCAGAAGUGACGUUAUAUUGAUUGCUACAGGGGAAGCUUACGUGGUAUAUUGAUUGCUACAUGAGAUAAAAUUAAUGAAUUGGUACCAAACAUAAGCGUAUGUAGGGCUGUCUAAAUGGUUAUCGGGUUUUGGGUAUCCAAUUAACCGAACCGAAAUUCCCGGGUUUGUAUCCAAUAACCAAAAUUUCGGGUAAUGGAUCGUUUCGGUUAUGUUUUUUUGAAAUUUCGGUUAUCGGUUAACCCGAAAAACCGAUCGGGUUAACCGAAUAACGAAAAUUAUUUUAUUAAUUAUUUAAUAUAUAUAUUAUCAAUAUAUCAUAUAUAUAUUAUAUAUUUAAUAUAUAUAUAAUAUAUUUGUAAAUUUACAUUAUUUAUAUAUUUUACAAUAUAUUAUAUAUUUGUAAAUUUACAAUAUUAUAUUUACAAUUAUUUAAAUAAUUAUUAUAUAUUGUAAAUAAUUUACAAUAUAUAAUAUAUUAUAUAUUUACAAAUAUUAAUAUUUAAAUUAAUUAAUUUAAAUAUAAUAUAUAUUAUAUAUUUACAAUAUAUUAUAUAUUUGUAAAUUAUUUAAUAUAUAUAUAUAUAUAUAUUUGUAAAUAUAUAUUAUAUAUUUGUAAUUUCUUUUAGAGUAGAUAGAGCAAAAAAUUAUUUGAAUUUUUAUUUUUUAAAUGGGUAUUUCGGAUACCCAAAUAACCCAAUUGGUUAACCGAAGCGGGUAUUGGGUAACCGAAUUUCUAAAAACGGUUCGGGAACGGUUAUUGAAAUUUGGCAAUUUCGGGUUCGGGUAACCGAAAAUUCGGAUACGGGUAACCGAACCCGAACCGAUCGACAGCCCUAAAUGCAAGUGUAGCAACCAAUUUGAUCAAAUAACAUGAUUUAGUAACAAUUCAAGAAAUUAACACUGUGGUUUCAACAAAAUUUACAUACAAAAGAAAGAAAAAGGAAAUAAGCAAGACAAAAAAAAAUGCACUUGCAUAUUAAGCCAAAGAUCUCUAUACUGUAGUUUGUGAAAGGCUUGAGCCUCCUAUUACACAACAUAGACUACUCUAACUAGGCUAGUUAGGUUUCAAACACCCAUACCUCCGUUAUGAGUAAUCAGCUCCCUACUGCGGAUAUGGAGCAGCGGCGGAGGAGAGGCGUCGGUGCUCUCUGGUUGGGGAGGCGCGUUGUUCACGAACGCUAGCUCUGCCAAAUCGAUGGCCUUGGCCAGGCCAGCAGCUUUGCGUUCACACUCGAUUUGCUCGUCGUCUGGACGGCUGUCGGCCACGAUCCCAGCACCGGAUUGGAGGUGCGCGAUCCAUUCCUGGCGCCUGUUGCCAUCCUUGUACGAGUACAUUGUGUCGUAACGGACUGCAGUAGGGAAAACGAUUGUCCUCAGGGUCAAUGCGAUGUCCAUGUCGCCCAGGAACGAAACCCCUCCGAAGCCACCGC